UUUAAAAUUCAAAACAGAAGAUAGAAAUCUGAAAGAGAGAGUUCGUUCUAGUCCUCAAAAAUCCUUAAAACCCCAAAAAUAUAGUUGGAAAUCCACAAAAAAUAUUGUUCUAUUGAAAUUUCCUAAGUCAGUCUAACAAAUUCUAGAUGUUAAUUCAAAUCCCUAGCACAGAUAGGAUAAAAAUGGCUUGAAGAUCUUGGUAUUUGGUUGCUGAAGUUGCAGGAGUGGUCAUGGGUUUAAUUUCAAAUUUGUUGGGUUCUAUUGAGUCUAUUUUGGGUAUUUUGUUGGUGCUGUUUCUCCUUUAUUCAUUCCUGGGCUUUGUACUGCUGUUCUGGACUCAAAAUUGAUCCUACGUUGUUGAUUUCACUACUGAUUCCUAUUACUGCAUUGUUGUUGAACCUACUGAUUCUACCUUUUUCUUUCAUUUUUGCCACAAUGCUAGGUAUUUCUCAAUCUCAAGAGAUGUAUAAUAAUUGGGACUACAGAUUCAAGGAAUGGAUAAUGAAUUACUGCUUAUUUCACUACCUG
rnacentral:lncRNA from 1 species